rnacentral:lncRNA from 1 species
CGCGAUCCGGCCGGGGCCCCUGACCUGGAAAAGCUCGUGUCCGCCGGGCCAGUCUAAUUAAACUCAGGACCUUGCACUUGCCCGGCAGCUGCACUCCCGACCUAUAUCGCUGGCCCCUGAGGAUAUAAACAGGACGAACUUGAAAGUUGCAUGCCACUAAGCAAAUCCAUGUGGUGCACUGUGAAUUCUUUUUUUAAAUAAAAAUCUGCAAAUAACACA